GUUGCUUCUCAUACUGGAAGAGUGGCAUCCAUCGGGUCAUUUCUUGAUGAGAAGCACACAUUUAACUUGGCCGGUAUUAAACAGCAUGAUGCUUUUUAUUGUUGCAUUUUGUUAUCUGUCUCCUGGUAAAUGU